rnacentral:rRNA from 1 species
GAUGAACGCUGGCGGCGUGCUUAACACAUGCAAGUCGAACGGAAAGGCCCCUGCUUGCAGGGGUACUCGAGUGGCGAACGGGUGAGUAACACGUGGGUGAUCUGCCCUGCACUUCGGGAUAAGCCUGGGAAACUGGGUCUAAUACCGGAUAGGACGAUGGUUUGGAUGCCAUUGUGGGAAGUUUUUCGGUGUGUGAUGAGCUCGCGGCCUAUCAGCUUGUUGGUGGGGUAAUGGCUUACCAAGGCGUCGACGGGUAGCCGGCCUGAGAGGGUGUCCGGCCACAUUGGGACUGAGAUACGGCCCAGACUCCUACGGGAGGCAGCAGUGGGGAAUAUUGCACAAUGGGCGCAAGCCUGAUGCAGCGACGCCGCGUGGGGGAUGACGGCCUUCGGGUUGUAAACUCCUUUCGCUAGGGACGAAGCGCAAGUGACGGUACCUGGUGAAGAAGCACCGGCUAACUACGUG